rnacentral:piRNA from 1 species
UAUAUGAGAAGAGCGGUCUAU